AAAAACACACACAGUUACUCAUUUUUCUUCACCCACAGAUGCUGAAAGAUGGGACAACCUGCAUAUUAAUGACCUGAGCGGCUAGACCGACAAUUGCUCGAGAAGUCUUAAAACCUCCCAGACGAAUUAGACACGGUUUUCUAGAAUCGAGUUCAUCUGGAGUGAUAAAGCCAGGACACAAAAGAAGAUAUUUGGAAGAACGGCAGCGGCACCCAUUCACUUCUAUUGUAUGGACACAAAACCAAAGCAAGUGAAUGGGUGCCAGUUUACAACAUUCUUCAAAAUAUCGCUUUUUUGUGUUCUGCGGAAGAAAGUCAUACAUGUUUGAAAUGACGAGGCAGCUGGAUUUGGGAGGGAAAGUCAUUCUCUGGCAGGAAGGACACAUCUCCAUUCAGGAAAAGACGUACAGCCUGUGCAGCCAUGUGGGAUGCUAAUCUAGAAAACAUCAGAACGGCUGUGCUUAUGACAGGAACUAUUGCAGACAAAACGGCUUCAUCUGUCAGUGGACUACUGUGACCUGUUGAAACAAAAAUAGCGCUGCCAAACAACUACAAGCACGUGUAUCCG